rnacentral:rRNA from 1 species
GACGAACGCUGGCGGCGUGCUUAACACAUGCAAGUCGAACGGAAAGGCCCUGCUUUUGUGGGGUGCUCGAGUGGCGAACGGGUGAGUAACACGUGAGUAACCUGCCCUUGACUUUGGGAUAACUUCAGGAAACUGGGGCUAAUACCGGAUAGGAGCUCCUGCUGCAUGGUGGGGGUUGGAAAGUUUCGGCGGUUGGGGAUGGACUCGCGGCUUAUCAGCUUGUUGGUGGGGUAGUGGCUUACCAAGGCUUUGACGGGUAGCCGGCCUGGGAGGGUGGCCGGCCACAUUGGGCCUGAGAUACGGCCCAGACUCCUACGGGAGGCAGCAGUGGGGAAUAUUGCACAAUGGGCGGAAGCCUGAUGCAGCAACGCCGCGUGCGGGAUGACGGCCUUCGGGUUGUAAACCGCUUUCGCCUGUGCCGAAGCGUGAGUGACGGUAAUGGGUAAGGAAGCACCGGCUAACUACGUG